rnacentral:lncRNA from 1 species
AAGGAAGGUAGGAGGAGAAGGCAAUGGAGGUGUGUGUAUGUGUGUGAUUGUGUGUGUGUCUGUUUAGUGGUGAGGCAUUCCGUGGGUGGGUUGUUGAAUCCAGCUGGAUAUAGUGGGCUGGAGAGCUACAGAGCCCUGGAUCUCUCUCUCUCUCAGCUACAGAGCCCUCGGAUCUCUCUCUCUCUCUCUCUCUCUCUCUCUCUCUCUCGCAGUGUCUUUCUGCUUUUGGUUCUCACAUUCACGUUCACACAUGCACAUAGGCAUUACUGCAGAGACCCCCUCUCCUUUCUCUUUGGGUGUAGACUUUGCUGUAGCAUCACACUUGAAUUGGACUUCACAAAGCUGAGGGCGAAGUCUGUCACUUUUGGAUCUGGGAAAAGUGUGCCAGGGUUCUUCUGGUUCGAGGAGCCAGCAAAGACGUCAAAAACUACCGAGGACAAACGCCCUUUCAGGUACAACAAUGAGGUUUUUGCUUGGCUACUUUUUAAUGACUCAAAACUAUUUUUUUUUUCUAAAUAUGCUUGCUUUUGAAUUUUAGUAUAUUUUGUUGGAUUAGCGUAAAAAAAAUAAUAAUUACCAAACCAUAAGCGCUUAAUAAACUGUGUGUGUGUGUUGUUCUGACGCGCAGAGUUCUUAAUUAAUUAGACAGAAUGUCACACUAAAGCACAGGCAUUAUGUAAGACAGCACUCAGAGAACAAUGAGUGAGCGUGAGGGUAAUUAAUCAGUUUAUUUUGUUUGUUUGCAUGGGUUUUGGUAUCUUAAGAUAAUUAGGAGUUCGAUUUUAAAAAGAGGGGAAAUAAUGAACGUCAAAUCAGUUUUUGUUGUUUUCUUAAAUGCUUUAGUUGCUUUCAAGAAAAACCUCUGGUUAUUUUGUUUGUUUACUUGAAGAGUUUCUUUCUCAAAUGUCAGAUUGUGACAUUCAGUAGCUUGUCUGACAGCAAUGGACAUGAUCCAAGUCUGUGGCCAUGGGCUGAUGAGAGUGUUGCGUUUACUGUUCAGUGGCCUUCGAUAAUGGCUGUGACCGUAAUGCCACUAGUCAUUAGUGAUUAUUAUUAGAAAUAGAGUUAAAACUGAAGUCAUAUUUGUGCCAGUAGUCACUGGUGGGUAUUAUUAAAAUUAUAGCCAAAACUGAAGUCAUUUUUAAUUAAACAAUGUUCUGACAGGAACG